UUUCUCUUUGGGUGUCCUGCGGAGGGAUCAUUACCGAGUCUAAACAACUCAUCAACCCUGUGAACAUACAUAAAACGUUGCUUCGGCGGGAACAGACGGCCCCGUGAAACGGGCCGCCCCCGCCAGAGGACCCCCUAACUCUGUUGCUAUAUGUAUCUUCUGAGUAAACAAGCAAAUAAAUUAAAACUUUCAACAACGGAUCUCUUGGCUCUGGCAUCGAUGAAGAACGCAGCGAAAUGCGAUAAGUAAUGUGAAUUGCAGAAUUCAGUGAAUCAUCGAAUCUUUGAACGCACAUUGCGCCCGCCAGUAUUCUGGCGGGCAUGCCUGUUCGAGCGUCAUUACAACCCUCAGGCCCCCGGGCCUGGCGUUGGGGAUCGGCGAGGCGCCCCCCGCGGGCACGCGCCGUCCCCCAAAUACAGUGGCGGUCCCGCCGCAGCUUCCAUUGCGUAGUAGCUAACACCUCGCAACUGGAGAGCGGCGCGGCCAUGCCGUAAAACACCCAACUUCUGAAUGUUGACCUCGAAUCAGGUAGGAAUACCCGCUGAACUUAAGCAUAUCAA
rnacentral:rRNA from 1 species